GACGAACGCUGGCGGCGUGCCUAAUACAUGCAAGUAGAACGCUGAAGGAGGAGCUUGCUUCUCUGGAUGAGUUGCGAACGGGUGAGUAACGCGUAGGUAACCUGCCUGGUAGUGGGGGAUAACUAUUGGAAACGAUAGCUAAUACCGCAUAAUAGCAGUUGUUGCAUGAUAACUGUUUGAAAGUUGCAAUUGCACCGCUACCAGAUGGACCUGCGUUGUAUUAGCUAGUUGGUGGGGUAACGGCUCACCAAGGCGACGAUACAUAGCCGACCUGAGAGGGUGAUCGGCCACACUGGGACUGAGACACGGCCCAGACUCCUACGGGAGGCAGCAGUAGGGAAUCUUCGGCAAUGGACGGAAGUCUGACCGAGCAACGCCGCGUGAGUGAAGAAGGUUUUCGGAUCGUAAAGCUCUGUUGUAAGAGAAGAACGAGUGUGAGAGUGGAAAGUUCACACUGUGACGGUAUCUUACCAGAAAGGGACGGCUAACUACGUG
rnacentral:rRNA from 1 species